GGUGAACGCUGGCGGCGUGCCUAAUACAUGCAAGUCGAGCGAACAGACGAGGAGCUUGCUCCUCUGACGUUAGCGGCGGACGGGUGAGUAACACGUGGAUAACCUACCUAUAAGACUGGGAUAACUUCGGGAAACCGGAGCUAAUACCGGAUAAUAUAUUGAACCACAUGGUUCAAUAGUGAAAGACGGUUUUGCUGUCACUUAUAGAUGGAUCCGCGCCGCAUUAGCUAGUUGGUAAGGUAACGGCUUACCAAGGCGACGAUGCGUAGCCGACCUGAGAGGGUGAUCGGCCACACUGGAACUGAGACACGGUCCAGACUCCUACGGGAGGCAGCAGUAGGGAAUCUUCCGCAAUGGGCGAAAGCCUGACGGAGCAACGCCGCGUGAGUGAUGAAGGUCUUCGGAUCGUAAAACUCUGUUAUUAGGGAAGAACAAAUGUGUAAGUAACUAUGCACGUCUUGACGGUACCUAAUCAGAAAGCCACGGCUAACUACGUG
rnacentral:rRNA from 1 species